AGAGAGGGAAGGAAAGGGAUGAGAGUCCUCAAGGCUAGGGCUAGGGCAAGAUUUUAUAGAGAUCCAUGGCUCUCUCCGACCGUCAAAUCAAUCGGGAGGUUGACGUGGCUCCGAUAGAUGCCCUAUCGUAUUGGGGAGGGAGAAGACGCGUGUGUGCUGGCUGGCUGGGUCGCUAGCCUCGUGGGGCUAUUGUUGGCGCGAGCUGGCUGGGGCGCUGCAGUUGCUGCUGGGCUGCAAGGACGAGAGAAGGAGGCGUAGGGCGCUGGCUCUCUCUUUGCUUUUUUGUUAAAACAGAAAAUGCUCAUUUUCUCAGAGAAAAUAGAGAAAGGCUAUGAAUAAAGAAAAAC
rnacentral:lncRNA from 1 species